GUUAAAUGGAUAAGAGGUGACAAAACUUCACCUUUUCAAUGCACAUACAGCCAUUAUCUAAAGCAGCAUGAGAGGUCAGUUAAUGCCUUUUAAAUCAAAGGAAGUACCUGAAUAGGUCUAAAUCUGUUUGGCUAAAUCUGUGCUUGUUGCUUCUGCUGGGUCAGGGGUUCCUAAUACAGGGCUCUUGCUGUGGAUUUCAGGGGAUUUGGUAAGCACCUUAAACUUGUGUUCCUGCUUUGAGUAGGGGAGUCAAUGACCCCCAAAACUACUGUCCCACG
rnacentral:lncRNA from 1 species